ACUUCAUUUUUCAACAUUCAUUUAAGAAUAAUUUGAUCAAAUUAAAGAAUUACAAUAAAAUAAAUUAAACUAAUUCAAAUCAAAAUUAAAAUAAUAGAAUAUAAUAAUUAAAAUAAAGAUCACAUAAUUAAGAAUAUUUAAAUUAAAUAAGAUAAAAUAUCAAAAAAAAAUAAUUUGAAUUGAAUUACAAUAAAUAAAUCUUAAUUGACAACAACAAACAGUAUUGACUUGAACGACAAUCAAUAUUGAGUUAGAUAUCGUGAUUAUGUUUGAAAGAGACGGCAUGAUGAUGAAAUGUGAUUGAAAGAAAAACUAUAAUGGAGUGAUAAAACUUAAAAGUUUAUUUGAUCGUAAAAAAUUUAAAUUUUGUCAGCUUCCUCUUCCAUCGGUUCACUUCCUUUGUCUUCUCCACUUUCAUUUUGUUCAGUCACACUUUUAGCACCUCCUCCAGAGACCAAUCCACCUGAUUUUCCUCCUCCAACUCCUUUAACUGAUGCUCGAGGGCCUUUCCAACUGGUCCAAACUACUCGUUCAUGUAUCCCAAUAUUUGUUUUUAUUUCUUCUAUUGCACCACCAGAAAUAAUAAUUAGUGCACAGAGAAAGAGCACGAAGAUAAAAAGCUUAGUUUUCAUCCUUGAUCAAUUAAGAAUAUAUAUUGUAGUGAAAUAUGAAUGCAAAAUGCAAUUAUUUAUAGUGAACAUAAAUAUAAUAGCAUUUCAUUAGAUAAUAUAUAUUACACAAUGAAAGAUAAUAUAUAUAUUUUUUGGCUUAUUGUGAGGAUAAUAGGUCAUCAACACCAUUAAAGAGUUAAAAGGUAAGAAGGGUUUUUAACACAAUGAAAUGUAUAACUCUAGAAUAUACUAUGGAGCUUUUUGGUUAAGUUAUUUUUGUCUUGCAAUAUUAUUGAUUUAAAUAUUUAAACUCUAGCUUUUUGUGUUGCUGUGAGGUAUCAGACACCAUAUAAUAGAAUAAUUAUAACAUCACCAAUUAAAAUGUGAAAAUAAACUUCAUAUUCUAGGGUUACGUACUGAUAUAUAAAUAAUGAAUAGUUGAUUCACCAAAAAAUAGCUCUUUGGUAUCUCAUGAGAAAUUAACUAUGCUAUACCAAAUCCUGCCUGAAAACUUAACCAAAAAUGAGUCAGACAAACUAAUGUAUGAAAAUAGAUUAUAGUCUUACUUUAGAAUCAUGGAAUGAAGCUUGGAUAUCAUUUAUUAUUUACCAAUAUUUUACAAAUAAAAGUGAAAUUAUUUCAAGAGAUUUUGUACAACUUAUAGAAUUAUUAUUAUUAUUUUGUUAAUCAUGAAGGAAUUAAAGCACGAGAAAAAUUAUAAACUUAUUGAGGAAAUAGAAUGAAAGACAAGAGAUUUGAAUUACGCUAAGUGUGUUAAAGAUGAAGAAAAUAAAAUUUGAUAAAAAAAGAAUAUAAAUAAUAUAUAAAAUAAAUACUUCCAUAAUUUAAUUAGCGAAGGAUAUGUCAUUUUAAGAGACUCUAACAAGAGAUAUAUUAGAGAAGAAAAUUGAAACUAUAACUGUUAUGGUUGGAUUCAAAACAAGGGGUGAAAGAAUCAUUGGAAAAAAUGAGUAAUAAGAAGGUGGUUGGACCACUAUAUAUCUAUUGAAGGGUGGAAAAAUCUUAGAGAGAGAUGCAUUUAGUAGCUCAUCAAAAUUUUAAUAAAAUUAUGAGGUCAAAGGAAAUUUCAAAUGAAUUGAG
rnacentral:lncRNA from 1 species